AACGCACAUUGCGCCUCCUGGUAUUCCGGGAGGCAUGCCUGUUCGAGCGUCAUUAAAAACCACUCAAGCCAAUUUUAUGGUUUGGUAUUGGGAGAGGAGUGCACCCGCUGUCCUCCCUUCCGAAAUCCAAUGGCGGAAAGCCCCACGUGCCCCGGCGUAGUAAGAUUUUCUUUCGCCCGGAACAUGAGGUGAUCCCGCCGUGAACCCCCAAUUCUUUACAGGUUGACCUCGGAUCAGGUAGGGAUACCCGCUGAACUUAA
rnacentral:misc_RNA from 1 species